rnacentral:rRNA from 1 species
GAUGAACGCUAGCUACAGGCUUAACACAUGCAAGUCGAGGGGAAACGACAUCGAAAGCUUGCUUUUGGUGGGCGUCGACCGGCGCACGGGUGAGUAACGCGUAUCCAACCUUCCCGUUGCUAGGGGAUAACCUUGCGAAAGUAAGACUAAUACCCUAUGAAGUUCUUCGCAGGCAUCUAAAGAGAACGAAAGAUUUAUCGGCAACGGAUGGGGAUGGGCAUGCGGCGCAUUAGCUAGUUGGCGGGGCAACGGCCCACCAAGGCGACGAUGCGUAGGGGUUCUGAGAGGAAGGUCCCCCCACACUGGUACUGAGACACGGACCAGACUCCUACGGGAGGCAGCAGUGAGGAAUAUUGGUCAAUGGGCGCAGGCCUGACCAGCCAAGUCGCGUGAGGGAGGACGGUCCUACGGAUUGUAAACCNCUUUUGUCGGGGAGUAACGUGCGGGACGCGUCCCGUA